GGAUAAUCCCGGGUGACCGGGGAAAAGCCGCGACAGGCUGGUUGGCGCGACUCCUCUGAAACCAGAUCGCAAGAUUUGGGGAGGCAUAAUUCACCGGUUCCACUGGCGCGUUCGCGCGUGCCAGUAUCGCGAAAAAAGGAACCGUGCGGCGAGGGACGAUUAGAAACCGUUCCGAGUUGAGUCAAGUAGUUCAGGCAGGUUUCGAGCCUGGGCGAAUCGCAGUUGCCAAAAGGUAUUGGUUGCUACUGCGCAUCAGCACGGAUGGACGACUCUGGCGGGUUUCAAAAAUAAUAAGUUGAGCCUGCCAAAAGAAAAACGCCGAAAGGCGGAACAAAACGAGAGUCCGGACCGGGAAGGCCACGCAGGCUGGGCAGGCCGCGUGAAAAACUUCCGGGCGUCGGCGAUGUUAAAAACGACACCGCCGGGCUGUGAAAGAAAAGCAACUUGAGAGUGAAGAGGCGAGACCCGUGGCGUCGGGCGAACGCGCUGUCAAAAACGGCGGCUGACCCGGUGCUAUUGUGGAGACGCGAAAGAAAUUACAGGCGUGUCUCAACCUGGUUCGCAGGCCGGUGGCGCAACCACCAGUUGAAGCGAGCUGAAAAGCCUCACUCGAAAUUCAGCGACCGCAAGGCGCUGGACGGCCCUGCUACGAGGCCGAAAACUCCGCUUGCCGUGGAGAAUGGCGUCGGGAAGCCAGCAGCCCCCGCGAGGGUGCGCGCCUAAUGUUGGCUUGGGAAAGAGAGCAUGGCGAACUCC
rnacentral:sRNA from 12 species